CCUACGGGUGGCAGCAGUGAGGAAUAUUGGUCAAUGGACGAAAGUCUGAACCAGCGAAGCAGCGUGAAGGAUGAAUGCCCUCUGGGUUGUAAACUUCUUUUAUAUGGGAAUAAAAUGUUCCACGUGUGGGAUUUUGUAUGUCCAAUAUGGAUCAGGAUCCGCUAACUCCGUGCCAGCAGCCGCGGUAAUACGGAGGAUCCGAGCGUUAUCCGGAUGUAUUGGGUUUAAAGGGCGCGUAGGAGGAUUGGUAAGUCAGUUGUGAAAGUUUGCGGCUCAACCGUAAAAUUGCAGUUGAAACUGGCAGUCUUGAGUACAGUAGAGGUGAGCGGAAUUCGUGGUGUAGCGGUGAAAUGCUUAGAUAUCACGAAGAACUCCGAUUGCGAAGGCAGCUCACUGGACUGCAACUGACACUGAGGCUCGAAAGUGUGGGUAUCAAACAGGAUUAGAUACCCGGGUAGUC
rnacentral:rRNA from 1 species